CUGGUCUGUUGCCCAGGGCGGACUUCCAAACCGGCGCUGCCAUGAUCGCUUGGGUCAAUUCCCG
rnacentral:tRNA from 13 species